CCAUCCCAGUUAAUCCCAGUCCAUCCAGGUUCAUCCCAGUCCAUCCCAGUUCAUCCCGGUUCAUCCAGGACAUCCAGGUUCAUCCAGGUUCAUCCCAGUCCAUCCCAGUCCAUCCCAGUCCAUCCCAGUACAUCCCAGUUCAUCCCAGUCCAUCCCGGUCCAUCCCAGUAAGCACCGAGUUAUUCCCGGCUUCCCCCAGUCCUUUCCAGUAUCCCCAGUCUGCUCCCAGUGCUCCCAGUAUGGGCGUAGCCCGCUCCCAGCUUCCACUGGGACACCGCAUCCCAUCCACCAGCAGCCUGUUGAGCUCCCAGUUCAUCCCAGUUCAUCCCAGUUCAUCCCAGUUCAUCCCAGUCCAUCACAUUGUCAUCCCAGUAACCACCGAGUCAUUUCCAGUUUCUCCCAGUCCUUUCCAGUAUCCCCAGUUCCUCCCAGUCCUUCCCAGCACCCCUCCAGUCUCUCCCCGUAAGCUGCCAUCCCUCCCAGUCCCUCCCAGUAUCUCCCCAGUCCAUCCCAGUGUAUUCCCAGCCCACCCGUUACCCUCCCAGUCCCUCCCAGUGCCUCCCAGUCCCUCCCAGUGUGCUCCCAGUCCCACCCAGUAUCAAUCCUGUGCCCCCCCGGUCCCUCCCAGUGUGCUCCCAGUCUCUCCCAGUCCCUCCCAGUCCCAUCCAGCAUCAAUCCUGUGCGUCCCCUUGAGGCACAGACACCCCAAAAUUCAGAGAAAUAUCCCCAAAUGUUGAGGCACAGACACCCCGAAAUAACCAGGGAGAAACUCCUCAAAAGCUGCGGAAAUGCCCCAAAAUGGAGACACCCUGAAAUGCAGAGAAAUGGCACA
rnacentral:lncRNA from 12 species